UACGUAGGGUGCAAGCGUUGUCCGGAAUCAUUGGGCGUAAAGCGCGCGUAGGUGGCUUCGUAAGUCCGUUGUGAAAGUCAAAGGCUCAACCUUUGAAUGCCGAUGGAUACUGCGAAGCUAGAGUACGGAAGAGGCGAGUGGAAUUCCUGGUGCUAGCGGUGGAAUGCGCAGAUAUCAGGAGGAACACCAAUAGCGAAGGCAGCUCGCUGGGACGUUACUGACACUAAGGCGCGAAAGCGUGGGGAGCGAACAGG
rnacentral:rRNA from 1 species